rnacentral:rRNA from 1 species
UGCCGGGGACUCUAGCGGAACUGCCAGCGUAAGCUGCGAGGAAGGUGGGGAUGACGUCAAAUCAGCACGGCCCUUACGUCCAGGGCUACACACGUGUUACAAUGGCCAGUACAGAGGGCAGCCACCCCGCGAGGGGGCGCUAAUCCUAAAAGCUGGUCUCAGUUCGGAUCGGGGUCUGCAACUCGACCCCGUGAAGUCGGAGCCGCUAGUAAUCGCAGAUCAGCAACGCUGCGGUGAAUACGUUCCCGGGCCUU